rnacentral:lncRNA from 1 species
ACAUUGACUCAAAAUCUUCACAGUGAAUCCACUCAGAAGCCAUGAAGAAGAAUUUGAUGAUCGCAUUUUUAGUUUUGCUUCUCACGAUUACUAUAUGUCACGGUAAGACAACUUUUCUUGUGUCUAACAAUUAUCAUUAUCCAAUCUGUAAUCGUAAUUAUAAUCGAAAUAUUGAUAUAAUUUUUCACAAUAACAUCAUCAUCAUAAUCAAAAUUUAAAAAUACUGCAAUGAAUAAAAAUCUAGUUUUAUUUAUAGAAUGAAAUGAUUAAAAUUGCAUACAAUUUUGCAGGUGAAGUUGAAAUUACACAACUUUCGACAAAUGUUGCGUGCAGCAUUGAUGAUGAUUGCUACAAGGGUGUUGUAUGUCCACUUCGCUUAUGUAUACGUGCUGUUUGCAAAAAUGGACAGUGUGCAUGUGUCUGUGAAUCCAAGUGGAUAGAGGAAAUUAAAAUGUAACUUUGGGAUAAUGCAGCUUGUCCAAUAAUAUUAAUAAUAAUCUGAAUGAAAUAAUCC